rnacentral:misc_RNA from 1 species
GAUGAAGAACGUAGCGAAAUGCGAUACGUAAUGUGAAUUGCAGAAUUCAGUGAAUCAUCGAAUCUUUGAACGCAUAUUGCGCUCUCUGGUAUUCCGGAGAGCAUGCUUGUUUGAGUAUCAGUAAACACCUCAACUUCCAUAUCUUUUUUUGAAAUGGGAGUUGGACUUGAGUGAUCCCAACGCUUUUCCUCACCGAAAAGUGGCGGGUUACUUGAAAUGCAGGUGCAGCUGGACUUUUCUCUGAGCUAUAAGCAUAUCUAUUUAGUCUGCCUAAAAAACAGAUUAUUACCUUUGCUGCAGCUAACAUAAAGGAGAUUAGUUCUUGUGCUGACUGAUGCAAGAUUCACAAAGACAGCUUCGGCCGACUUUGUAAACUCGAUCUCAAAUCAAGUAAGACUACCCGCUGAACUUAAGCAUAUCAAUAAGCGGAGGA